UGCUGGAUAGCUCCAUCGGUAGAGCCUGAUACUUAAUCUCAGGGUUGUGGGUUCGAGCCCCACAUUGGGCCAA